CAAGUGACCCCGGUCUAACCACCGGGAUGUUCAUAACCCUUUGUUGUCCGACUCUGUUGCCUCUGGGGCGACCCUGCCUUCGGGCGGGGGCUCCGGGUGGACACUUCAAACUCUUGCGUAACUUUGCAGUCUGAGUAAACUUAAUUAAUAAAUUA
rnacentral:misc_RNA from 1 species